rnacentral:rRNA from 1 species
UAGGGAAUCUUCGGCAAUGGACGAAAGUCUGACCGAGCAACGCCGCGUGAGUGAAGAAGGUUUUCGGAUCGUAAAACUCUGUUGUUAGAGAAGAACAAGGACGUUAGUAACUGAACGUCCCCUGACGGUAUCUAACCAGAAAGCCACGGCUAACUACGUGCCAGCAGCCGCGGUAAUACGUAGGUGGCAAGCGUUGUCCGGCUUUAUUGGGCGUAAAGCGAGCGCAGGCGGUUUCUUAGGUCUGAUGUGAAAGCCCCCGGCUCAACCGGGGAGGGUCAGUGGAAACUGGGAGACUUGAGUGGAGAAGAGGGGAGUGGAAUUCCAUGUGUAGCGGUGAAAUGCGUAGAUAUAUGGAGGAACACCAGUGGCGAAGGCGGCGCUCUGGUCUGUAACUGACGCUGAGGCUCGAAAGCGUGGGGAGCAAACAGG